rnacentral:lncRNA from 1 species
GUCCAAGUGUGGAAGCGCACGUCCGUGUGCGUGCGUGCGUGCGUGCGUGUGUGUGUGAGCGAAGGGGAAACGGUGUAGAAUGUGUUGGGAUGUGAUGGAAUCUUCUCUUGUUUUCAGUCACCCAGCCCCUCCCUCCUUCCAUCGCUGCCUCUCUCUUUUACCCUGGGUGCUAAUCAGCAUUUGAAAGGCAGCUUUGACAGUGAGAAAGGGAGAGAGGCUGGAGGAGGAGGGGGUAAAUGGGAGGGGGGAGAGAGAGAGAGAGAGAGAGAGAUGGAGGGAGGGAGGGAGGGAGAGAGAGGGAGACCUAGGCAGAAGCUGUACAAGCAUGCCUUUUAUAUUUACUAGUGGAGAGGCUGUGGAGAGAGGGAGGGAGAGGAAGGAGACGUCCGAUGCACCCGGCCUCCCCAGGAUGAAAUGAAAAGGAGGAGGCUCUGCUAGGAGGACGCGCGAGGGAGAGCACCUCAGCACACGCCUCCUCGCGCCAGCGCGCCGCCGGGGAGGACCCUGUGCCGGACGCCAGCCGGAGAAGAAGCGGGACCGGGGGGAGCGGCGAGCGUGCCGUGCCGCGCUCCGCGCACACUCAUGCGGCGGGGAACUGCCUGUUCGCCUCCGCCGCUUUCCUGAGACUGCUGGGGAGGGAGGGAGGGGGGGGGGCGGGCGAGGGGGGGGCGGGGGGCAUUGUUUGCGACCGUGCCCCGGCGAGGCGCGCACGUGGCUGCGACCGGGGGCCUGGGACCGACCAGGUGGGUCGCCGCUGGGGGCGGGGGGGGUUCGGAGUGUCUGCGGAGAGCGCCCGAGGGCCUCGUCGCCAGAGAUGCCCAUCAGGAGGUCUCGCCGUGACACAGCACUGCUCAAUCGGAGGCUGCGCUAGGCGUGGCGGCCCACGCGGCUGCGAUGGCGGCUAUGCCGUUCGCCGGCGAGGGGAAGUGUGUCAGCGUGGAGUGGGACUUCCUGCAGGGCCUGCUGGCCAAGCCACCGACGCUGCCCUGGUGAGAGAGAGAUGCCCACGCAGGCAUGGACGUACAUACAUGCGCAAACACGG